GUGCUCACUUUGACAGCACAUAUAUUAAAAUUGAAACGAUACAGAGAAGAUUAGCAUGACCCCUGUGCAAGGAUGACACGCAAAUUCAUGAAGCAUUCCAUAUUUUU
rnacentral:snRNA from 1 species